UGUGUGUGUGUGUGUGUGUGUGUGUGUGUGUGUGUGUGUGUGUGUGUGUGUGUGUGUGUGUGUGUCCGAGAGAAAGAGAGCGAGAGAGAGAAUUGUCAGAGAAGCGAAAAGCAAGAAGUGGUAGAACGAGAGAAGGGAUAUGCAGAGAGAAAGAAACAGACAAGGCGAUCUUUAAAUCUUUCGCCUCUUCAGCUGACGUUUUGUGAUCCUAUUUAUUUAUUUUAAUUGCGGCUUCUCGGGCCGAACAGUUGUUGUGUUGACGUUGCUUCCAGAGGCAGUUUGGAACACGGUAGUGAGGGUUGUAACCGAGGACAGAUGAUGUUUACCCGCUACGUGUUUCAGCACUCGGCAGAUCUGGGGGAACUCUAGCAGGGCAGAAAUUUAACAAACUGACUUGUUGGAAAAGUGGCAUCCUAUGAUGGUGCCACGUUGAAAGUCACUGAGCUCUUCAGUAAGACAAUUCUACUGACAAUGUUUGUCUAUGGAGAUUGCAUGGCUGUUUGCUCGAUAUUAUACNNNNNNNNNNUGUGUGUGUGUGUGUGUGUGUGUGUGUGUGUGUGUGUGUGUGUGUGUGUGUGUGUGUGUGUGUGUCCGAGAGAAAGAGAGCGAGAGAGAGAAUUGUCAGAGAAGCGAAAAGCAAGAAGUGGUAGAACGAGAGAAGGGAUAUGCAGAGAGAAAGAAACAGACAAGGUACUUCCUGGCCGGGGCCAGAGGGGGAGAAGAGCUGAGUAGGGAGGUCUGACCCCUUCCACUGCAGACAGGGAGACUCCACCUCAAAACAACCACAACCACGGUCAGAACACGACCAAGCACUAAGUCAAACAAACAAGCAAACACAACUACACCUGGGAACACAACCACACAGGUUUAUAUCACAGUCAAUCACACGGUCAAACAGUCAGAGGAACACAUGGUCAGAACACAGUGAAAACAACAUCCACAACCACACACACGCUGAUCUCAAAGUCCAGUGAUAUUGAUGGUAAAUACCUCUUGUUUGAUCUUCUUUAGGGUUGGCUGUUGGUCCCCGACCGAGACAACACACUCCAUAGGUUCCUGUUUUAUACACUCUACCA
rnacentral:lncRNA from 13 species